UAUUCUCCAGCCUACAUGUUUGUCUUCUCUCUUCCACCUUUAGCCACAGUGGCUUUUUUCUUUUUUCCUCGUCAAAGGAGUGAAUGAUUUGCUGUUUAGAUAGGGAUUUAGGUUACAAGUGGGAUAGUUACACCAGGUCCUCUUAGCAUGUGCAGGAUGCAUGAGUGCAUUAGAUGUCUUCACUUCUCUAAGGUUUCCUUCAUUCACAAAAAUCCUGCAGCUACAGAAUUGCAAGUUAUAUGUACAAGACUAACAGUACUAAGGAAUCUGUGUUCAAUCACUGGCUAUUGUGCAUCUACAACAUCAGAAGAUAGAGAAGAGAGUAAAUUUACUGCUAAACAAGACAUGUGGUUGGUCUCUGGGCAGCACAUCCUGCUGUAUGGCAUUUAUUACAAAAAAUCAUGACAAGAAUCCAAUUUGCAACUCAAGAGCUGGAGUAUGUUCCUCCAAGAUAUCCUCGACAGACCUUCUUAAUGAAUGAAAGUAUCACACAAAAACUUCCUCUAACUUUCUUCUUUGUCCCAUGGAUAUUAAUAGAAGGGAACAGUUAUUUUCUACUUUAGUCAGGUAACUUUUGCACAAU